UUUAAGGUGGCUGUGUUGGUAAAGAAUCUGCCUGCAGUGCAGAAGACCCUGGUUUGAUUCCUGGGUCAAAAA
rnacentral:tRNA from 1 species